UACGUAGGGGGCAAGCGUUGUCCGGAUUUAUUGGGCGUAAAGAGCGUGUAGGCGGCUUUACAGGUCCGUUGUGAAAACUCGAGGCUCAACCUCGAGACGCCGGUGGAAACCGUAAAGCUAGAGUCCGGAAGAGGAGAGUGGAAUUCCUGGUGUAGCGGUGAAAUGCGCAGAUAUCAGGAAGAACACCAAUGGCGAAGGCAGCUCUCUGGGACGGUGCUGACGCUGAGACGCGAAAGCGUGGGGAGCGAACAGG
rnacentral:rRNA from 1 species